rnacentral:lncRNA from 10 species
CCUCAAUUUCCCUAUCUGUAAAAUGAGUGUAUUAAACUGGAUCAGUGGUUUCCUCCUCCAUUUUGCAAAGCUCUCUCCUAGGACACAGCUAGGACUUUUCGGGAAGGGGGCAGAGUGAGAGAGGACAAGGCCAAAGCUUUCUUUUGAAAAGAGACUCCUGUUUGAAAGCCAUGACUAUGUGAUUCUGAGGUUGCAUGCCCAUCCUUGUAUUUGAGAAGCUUCCUAUGCAGGAAAAACUGGUGAAAUAAUAUACAGAUCAAGCCUGAGAGUCUCUGAUAAAAUAUUAAUAUCA